rnacentral:rRNA from 1 species
CCUACGGGAGGCAGCAGUGAGGAAUAUUGGUCAAUGGGCUUACGCCUGAACCAGCCAAGUCGCGUGAGGGAAGACUGCCCUAUGGGUUGUAAACCUCUUUUGUCAGGGAGCAACGCCUGCUACGUGUAGCCGGACUGAGAGUACCUGACGAAAAAGCAUCGGCAAACUCCGUGCCAGCACCCGCGGUAAUACGGAGGAUGCGAGCGUUAGCCGGAUUUAUUGGGUUUAAAGGGUGCGUAGGCGGAAUGCCAAGUCAGCGGGAAAAUCGCGGGGCUCAACCUCGCUCCGCCGUUGAAACUGGCGUUCUUGAGUGGGCGAGAAGUAUGCGGAAUGCGUGGUGUAGCGGUGAAAUGCAUAGAUAUCACGCAGAACACCGAUUGCGAAGGCAGCAUACCGGCGCCCAACUGACGCUGAAGCGCGAAAGCGUGGGUAUCGAACAGGAUUAGAUACCCGAGUAGUC